rnacentral:lncRNA from 1 species
GAAAUAGCGCACCCCCAUCAACAGAAAAUAUUCUUAUACAAAGCCAACUCAUUGACUUUCUAUAUCUUCAAACUCCUUACAUUCACCCUGCUCUAAUUCGUGCCUUCUACUCAAAUCUACAGAAGGACGAAGAUGGUGACCUUGUCUCUAGCAUCAAUGGAGGUCCAAUUUUUGUAAAUGAGGAAAACUUGCAACUCCUCACUAACCUUCCACGAAAUGGUG